GACGAACGCUGGCGGCGUGCUUAACACAUGCAAGUCGAACGGAAAGGCCUUGCUUUUGUGGCGUGCUCGAGUGGCGAACGGGUGAACAACACGUGGGUAACCGGCCCUUGACUGGAGGAGAACUCCAGUAAACUGUGGCUAAUAGCGCAUAGGAGCUACUCCUGCAUGGUGGGGGUUGGAAAGUGUGGGCGGUGGUGGAUGGACUGGCGGCUUAUCAGCUGGUUGGUGGUGUAGUGUCUUACCAAGGCUUUGACGGGUAGCCGGCCUGAGAGGGUGACCGGCCGCCUUGCUACUGAGGUGCGGCGCAGAAUACUACGGGAGGAAGCAGUGGUGAAUAAUGCACAGUGGGCGGAAGCCGGAUGAAGCAACGAUGCGUGCUGGAUGAAGGCGUUCGGGUUGUAGACCGCUUUCGCCUGUGAAGAAGAGGGAGUGACGGUAAUGGGUAAAGAAGCACCGGCUAACUACGUG
rnacentral:rRNA from 1 species